ensembl:processed_transcript 4930594M22Rik RIKEN cDNA 4930594M22 gene
AGUCCCAGCCCGCCUCGGCGCCUCACCUGCAGUGGUCAGGGGAAUCACGAGGAGCGCGCCCGGACCGUGGAGCGGAAAUGCCCAGCUGGGCGGGUGUCGCAACCAAACCGCCCCGGGCGGCGCUCCUGCUGGUCGCUCGCCGCUCGGCCCGCCCCGGCAGCGCCACGGAGCGCACCUGGCCGCGCGCACGCCACGCCCCAUGUGCCGGAACCGCGCAGGAGGAUGUCCCCUUGCAAAGCAAGAGAUCUGUUCCCUUGGGGAAAGAGAACAAGGAAGCUCAGAAAAUAAGUUACAGAUUGGACAGAGAAUUCUGUGAAAAGAAAAGAGCUGUCUAGAUUUGGGCUGAAUAAUUCAGAAAACAAACCUGACCAACAGGCUACUUUUAGUAGCAGUUAGAAAAUGGGGGAUUUUUGUUCCAUGUAAGACAGAAAGAGCCCAGGUACCCAACUUUUCCUCCAGCCUUUGCAUAUCAUUUGCUAAGACAAUGAAGCCAUAUUAAAAUAGCCACUGCCACCAAGUGACAAACAUGUAGGAAACAAGCAGAAGUGCCCACAAUGAGAGGCACUUCUAAUACCAUUAAAAGUCCCAAAUAUUCUGCUGAGGUUGCAGAUUGCUAAAGCUAAAAUGUAUAAACACAUAAAGAUUCAUGUUCAUCUUUAAGGGAAUACCUUCGAGUGCUACAUGAUCCUUUCUUUGUUAACUUAGCACUGUAUCAUGGGGUUGACAUUAAAUACAACAUAUGUCUAAACCUUAAAAACUAAAAUAAGUCCCAAUAAAUUCAGUACUUGGAAUCUCUCAUACAGUAGGCUUUAUUAACACAAUUUCCAUUUGGCCCAAUUCAAUAACUAAUAUUAGGCACUUAUCACAUUCAAGGCACUGUGGGUAAUAUCAAUGCAGGCCAAGGACUACCUACCCUGAUACCUCAAUCUU